GGGAGAGACUUUCGAUUUUAUUUACCUUUGUUAGGGUUGGUAGGUGAAGAUGAUGGUGGUAUUGAUGUAAAAAUAUGUAGAAGAAGGAUUUGGACUGAGAAGGAUCUCCAUAAGAUUAUCUUCAACUCUAUCUUUUUCAUGUUCUUGUAUGAUAUUGGAAUUUGGAUACUAUGACAUGUUUGUUGUAACUUUAUUGUAGUGUUUGGUUUAGGGUGUUAGUUGUAGUUGUAUAUUGUUGUAGUUUGUAUUGUUGGA